rnacentral:misc_RNA from 1 species
GUGUAAGUGUCACGUGCUUGCCGGCCUAUGCCGAGAAUUAUCCGUCUCGCUGCGAUGUCUUUUCAUUUGCUGCUGAGGUCUUUCGCCAGUUACUUCACUUCCGUCCAAUUUCCUCUCUCUACUAUUCUCUUUCUCUCUCUAAGAAUCUUAUAAAGUCUCCCCAUUUUCACUCUCGCACAAAGAAGACUGCCGACUACUGCUUCACUCACUCUCUCUCUCUGUCUCUCUCUCUUUUCCAUAUUGAGACUGGAUAGAUCCAUGGUAUCUGUUUGUUUGUGUGUGUGUAUUUGGGGGGUCGGAUGAUGUCCACAUUCACACCCAUUACUGCUUGCAGUUGCUAUAAUCAUUUAAAUUACGUUAUUCAUUUCUAUCUUAUGAUAGUUGGUAAUAGCAUGUGUAAGGGCCAACUUGGCUGGUUGGAUCAUCUAAAUUAAGAUUUGGAUGUUGUGGAGCUAAUAUUUACUUGACA